UAUCGUUACAGUUAGCUUGAAGUUGC
rnacentral:sRNA from 1 species